AUAACCAGUAAUCCGCCAUGCAGCAUGGAAGUUCUGUGUGAGUCAGUUUCCUCAAGUCAAAGCUAUUGGAUGACUGAUGCCCUGACUAAUUAAACAACUAGCCAAGGUUUAUAAUUCUUGGACAAAACCUGUCCCACCCAGAAGGCUACACUGCCUCACCCAUUGUGAGCAAAAAAACUCCUUGAUGUGAGGAAAUGGAGAGAAUGAAACAGCAUUUGUUUGAAAAAGUGAAGGCAAAAAGCAACGUCAGGAUGAUGCCUAUCUGCUUUGACUCUUCUGAAGGGUAGAGUAGCCCUUACAAAUGCACGCAUCUGACAUUCCAGGGCUACUGAAGGGUUAUUCAACAGACUCUAACAAGAAUACAAGUGUCAGUGCCAGUAACAGUAACGAUCUGGUGGAGACUUCACCAGGAGCUAUGCUUUACCCAGUCUUGAGAUAAUAGACAUGCCACCUGCAUGUACUACUUCCUUGCAUUCUGCCACCAUGUCACCAAUCUGUGACAACAUCAUUAGCUCUCUCAUUAGCUGACUUCAGAUUUAUUUCUUUGUGAUAUCAAAAUCCAAAUUGCUUGAGAAAUACCUGAGUAUAUACUGUUUAACAUAGUAUCAAGAUUUGUUUAAGUGCUAAUAAACAUGGAUGUAAACACA